CGUGGGUAACCUGCCCAAGAGAUCGGGAUAACACCUGGAAACAGAUGCUAAUACCGGAUAACAACAGAUGAUGCCUAUCAACUGUUUAAAAGAUGGUUCUGCUAUCACUCUUGGAUGGACCUGCGGUGCAUUAGCUAGUUGGUAGGGUAACGGCCUACCAAGGCGAUGAUGCAUAGCCGAGUUGAGAGACUGAUCGGCCACAUUGGGACUGAGACACGGCCCAAACUCCUACGGGAGGCAGCAGGA
rnacentral:rRNA from 1 species